UACAGAGGUCUCAAGCGUUGUUCGGAUUCAUUGGGCGUAAAGGGUGUGUAGGUGGCGCGCUAAGUCGGGUGUGAAAUUUCGGAGCUUAACUCCGAAACUGCAUUCGAUACUGGCGUGCUUGAGGACUGGAGAGGAGACUGGAAUUUACGGUGUAGCAGUGAAAUGCGUAGAUAUCGUAAGGAAGACCAGUGGCGAAAGGCGGGUCUCGUGGACAGUUCCUGACACUGAGACACGAAGGCCAGGGGAGCAAACGGG
rnacentral:rRNA from 1 species